AGCAGCCGCGGUAAUUCCAGCUCCAAUAGCGUAUAUUAAAGUUGCUGCAGUUAAAAAGCUCGUAGUUGAAUUUCGGGACCGAUAUAUCGGUCGUGCCUCGGUACGUACUGGUAUUUUCGGUUUCUACCUUCUGACGAACCUUGAUGUCAUUAAUUUGGUGUCUUGGGGAAUCAGGACUGUUACUUUGAAAAAAUUAGAGUGUUUAAAGCAGGCUCACGCUUGAAUACAUUAGCAUGGAAUAAUGAAAUAGGACGUUUGAUUCUAUUUUGUUGGUUUCUAGGAUCGACGUAAUGAUUAAUAGGGAUAGUUGGGGGCAUUAGUAUUCAAUUGUCAGAGGUGAAAUUCUUGGAUUUAUUGAAGACUAACUACUGCGAAAGCAUUUGCCAAGGAUGUUUUCAUUAAUCAAGAACGAAAGUUAGGGGAUCGAAGACGAUCAGAUACCGUCGUAGUCUUAACCAUAAACUAUGCCGACUAGGGAUCGGAUGAUGUUAAUUUUUUAAUGACUCAUUCGGCGCCUUAC
rnacentral:sRNA from 1 species